rnacentral:snoRNA from 1 species
CUUUGUGAUGAAAACUCCAACCAAAAGCAUAGUUCAACUGAGACGUCAACGUCUUUGAACGAGAACCAAUCCAUCAUUCAAUCUUCUGAAA